AUCCAAAAGAAGGGGAAAGUUUGUGAAGAAAAAGAAAAGAAUAUUGCAACUCACUGCUAGAGGCGUUAAUACGACGCUAACGAACCGUAGCCUUUCCAGAGCAUAGCUGGCACCAUUAGCACCCAUCUGUGCCGAGUGGGAUGUGCAAGCAGAAGUCAGGGCUGAGCAGCCUCCACCUGUUUGCAGAGAGCCCUGCAGUGACCUUACUGUUGGCUGAUUCCAGGGAGCCACCUCAUUAUUCUGACUUGAAACUUCUCCAUCUCCAAAAUCAGAGGAAGAAUGCACAUCACAGUCCUGCUCUGACAACAUAGGCCCAGGGAAAUGAAGAAGAGCAAUUUUUGCAUUACUGUAAACUGCAAAAAGUGUUCCCCAGUGAAAACCACAAUUUCGCUUUGGUUUGAUGAGUGUGCUGUGAUGCCAGUGUGGUAGGUUUACCUUCUGAAAUGAUUGAAGAGUAGGAGUAGACUGUGUACUGUUAGCAGGAAGCAAUGUCUGAUACCAAUUAUUUCUAAUUUUGCAGUCUAGAACUGGGUUUUUGUUAUAUUUUGAGGUUUCCUUUAAAAUGGUGGCCUUUCCAGUCAGCAGAUAUAAGUCUUGCCAGUGUUCUUGUGUCAGUUAACAAACUCAGUUAUUUAUAAACAAUCUUGGAAGGGAGACAUUUAAA